CAGAAAAUAAUUUAAAAAAAAAAAAAAAAUUUAAAUUUUGGGGAUUUAAUUUGACGUUGCUCUUUUCUGA
rnacentral:tRNA from 1 species